GUGAAGCUGAAUUUCACAAAUCUUCCUUUUCUGACGUCUCCCGAAUUUCUAGGAAUGCCCCUUCCCUGUUACUAUAUUUGGAGGUAGUUUCUAGGAAAAAAAACAAUUUUCGGACGGUCUUGGACUCCCCACACCUACUCUCGGAGGACGCCGAGCCUCGGGUCUCCUGGCACGGCCCCCGCGGAGUUGAGUUGCCCACGGCUCGGGCUCAGCAACUCCCGGCGCAGGCUGCACGUCUUUGUAGCACUGUUGGAGGAAUGAGCAUGGAGAGGGAGUGGGAAGGGGAGAGGUGUCUUUGUGGCAACAAUGAGUGAAUCUCCUCUAGUUUUUUUCCUGGUGGCUGCUCUUUUCCCCCUCCCACUUUUUUCUUUCUUUUCUGGGUGGGUUGGUUUUUUUUGUUGUUUUUUUGAUUUUUUUUUUUAAAGGAAGAGAAUCUUAAGGAAAAAAACCCACAACUGGAUUUCCCCCCCCACCCCCCCGCUUCCCCCUCUCCCCCUCCCCUUGAUGUGGCCUCUUGUUUAGCUCGUGGCGUGACCGUGAUGAAGAAAUGUUUCUGGGCGCCUGGCAGGGUGAUCUUUUUAUGUAAUGAGUCAGGAUUUUGCCAACGGAAGGAGCCGGCUCGGAGCGGGGACCGAAGGGCUGUCUCCUUUCAAGAACGGGAACCUGCCGGGCGAGCGGCACCCUCUCCUCGGGAUCCGCGCUCGCCUCCCAGCUGGCGGGGGCAGCGCCGGGGGGACUGACAAGUGGCUACCUAUUUUAUCUUAACAUUUCUACUUAGCCAGAAUUUCCGUCAACUUCUCUGCGUUCUCCCUCCGAGGUGUAUUUGCUGAUUCUGCGGCAGUUCAGCUAGGACAGCAUUCUUUGGCUCUCUAUUUUGAUUAUCAAAAGCAGAAUAUAAUGUCAUAAUAUCUUCUCAAGCACAGUAAUUAGUUUCUUUUAGGGUAACUGACAGCAUUUACCUUCUUCAGUCAUCCAUGUGUAAACUGUAAUGCUUUUAAACUUGGACUUUAUUUAGAAGUUCUGUUGGAAUUAUAAACUGAGGAUUUAGAAAAGAUGUUCUUUUUGUCUACAGAUCUCUACUUUUCCUCUCAUCGUUGAAAGAAGUUCUUAAAUAUAAUGCUGAGGCCAGUAUGAUUUAGACACACUGCUGAGUGCUUGAAACUGCCACUGUUAGUGGGAAGACACCUAACUGUUUCAAGUAAAGUUAAAAUAUUUUCUAGUUUACUGUACAAAUAACAAAUUGAGAGUAAUGACAGAGCUCACUACAAUGUGUCAAUCUCUCUAUAAUGUGUCAACUUUAGUCUGAAAUACAGUGGAACAGAUAAACAAGUUGUUACUUGCUCUGAGAUCUUAAUAGAUAUUUGCAGUGCUGAGCCUAAUAAAUAACUUAUUCUCGGGAAGUUCCAUGUCAUUUUAUAGACACUUAGAGAAGAUGCUGCUUACCUACUUAAUAAAUAAAUCAUAAAGUGUGAAUAAAACUAACAGUAUCUGUUAGCAAUUCCCGCUGUCUGGAAAGUGAAGGAGUGUAUAUUGUCAGUUGGCUACAAUAUUCUCUUCUGUUAGCCUGAAAAUUACCCACUUUAUAAACAACAAUUCUCUCCGUUGAUUGGGCAUAUUUUACAAAGACACUUUACUUACAAAUUGAAUCUCAGAAGGUUGUGGUUCCAGAGUCGGGGUUUUGGGGGCGAGAUGAGCUUAUGUUUUAUCCAACUGGCCCACAAAGUCCCGCUUUUGGUGGUCACUUUGUUCUGCAAAAGAAACCAGUACAUUAUGGCUCUUACAGUGGACAUUAAGCUUAGUAGUAAACUGCUGCUGCACUCAGUAAAAGGCUGCUUUAAAUAAAUGAUAAUACUCUAAUGUUUUCUUCAGCAAUAAAAAGGGGAUAGAAAAUACUGUCAUUCUGAAAGUUAAACAUUAAAAAAAGAAGUUGUCUAA